rnacentral:lncRNA from 1 species
UUUUAAAGCUUUUUACGGGAAAUGAAGCAAGACCGAGUGGAGCUUGGGGGUUCUGACGAACGAGGUCUGGUUAUACCGACAUGGGUGUAAGUAUACUACCCCUAAGCUCUUCCUGAUGCCUUUAACCUCAUUCGGCUUUCUAACUCAUUUUCCUUUGUGCAGUUAUAAUUUUCAAACCCGAGGGGGCAGAUGCCACCCUGAUUCCACUAUUGAACACUGCCGGACCGAUCCGCCUACCUAUCUUCGAAGAUAACGGUGAAGAGGAGACUGUGUCGAUUGCUGAACUCUCUACCGGCUCCACAUCGGGUCCACGCCCUACAACUGCCCCCACCGAUCCAUCUACCAAGGUUGCCCUAAAAAUGAGCCGAUCUGAGAAGAUGGCAUUAUUAAAGAAGACCAAGAAGCCCUCCAAGCCUCUCUCCAAAGUUCCCGCUAAGGCCCCUCCUAAGGCUGUGCCGAAGCCAACUCCUCCACCCCCCACUUAGGUCGCGGUGAUCGAGGAUUCAGAGGACAACGAAGAGGUUCCUCUGGAACCCCGACCUUAGAAGCCACGACUAACUGAAGACUCUGAGCAACAACAAGUUGCUGUGACCGAUCCCGUCGUCACCACUACGUCUUCUUCCCACCCUAGUUCUUCUCACGGAUCGCCGACCACCUGUUGGCCAAAGGGUCCUUUGGAAGUGUUUCCCUUCACCAUGUUUGAUCACUUCAAGCUCUUGGGUGAUGACAAAUGGUUCAAGGGAUUCUCUUCCGAAGAGUAUCUUGUGGCUUACGUCCGAGCUCAGUGCCAGGUAAUUCAGAAAUUGUUUAUCUUCUUGUUGUAAACUUAUACUUUUACUUCGAUAACUGAUGUAUGUGUUUGUUGUAGGCCAACGCCAUUCUCACUCGAGUCAUCCCUCCUCUCGCCC